rnacentral:lncRNA from 1 species
GCCGCCCAGCCCCGCGCCUGGCGUGCCUCCGCCGUCGCCUGCGCCGCCCAGCCCCUCGCCUGGCGUGCCUCCGCCGUCGCCUGCGCCGCCCAGCCCCUCGCCUGGCGUGCCUCCGCCAUCGCCCGAGCCGCCCAGCCCCGCGCCUGGCGUGCCUCCGCCGUCGCCCGAGCCGCCCAGCCCCGCGCCUGGCGUGCCUCCGCCAUCGCCUGAGCCGCCCAGCCCCGCGCCUGGCGUGCCUCCGCCAUCGCCCGAGCCGCCCAGCCCCGCGCCUGGCGUGCCUCCGCCGUCGCCUGCGCCGCCCAGCCCCUCGCCUGGCGUGCCUCCGCCAUCGCCCGAGCCGCCCAGCCCCGCGCCUGGCGUGCCUCCGCCGUCGCCCGAGCCGCCCAGCCCCGCGCCUGGCGUGCCUCCGCCGUCGCCCGAGCCGCCCAGCCCCGCGCCUGGCGUGCCUCCGCCAUCGCCUGAGCCGCCCAGCCCCGCGCCUGGCGUGCCUCCGCCGUCGCCCGAGCCGCCCAGCCCCGCGCCUGGCGUGCCUCCGCCGUCGCCUGCGCCGCCCAGCCCCGCGCCUGGCGUGCCUCCGCCGUCGCCUGCGCCGCCCAGCCCCGCGCCUGGCGUGCCUCCGCCGUCGCCCGAGCCGCCCAGCCCCGCGCCUGGCGUGCCUCCGACGUCGCCUGCGCCGCCCAGCCCCGCGCCUGGCGUGCCUCCGCCGUCGCCUGCGCCGCCCAGCCCUGCCCCCGGCGUGCCUCCGCCGUCGCCCGAGCCGCCCAGCCCCGCGCCUGGCGUACCUCCGCCGUCGCCUGCGCCGCCCAGCCCCGCGCCUGGCGUACCUCCGCCGUCGCCUGCGCCGCCCAGCCCUGCCCCCGGCGUGCCUCCGCCGUCGCCUGCGCCGCCCAGCCCCGCGCCUGGCGUGCCUCCGCCUUCGCCCGAGCCGCCCAGCCCCGCGCCUGGCGUGCCUCCGCCAUCG